GGAGACAGAGCACCGGGUGCUAACGUCCGGACUCAAGAGGGAAACAACCCAGACCGCCAGCUAAGGUCCCUAAAAUUGGCUAAGUGGGAAACGAAGUGGGAAGGCUAAAACAGUCAGGAUGUUGGCUUAGAAGCAGCCAUCAUUUAAAGAAAGCGUAAUAGCUCACUGAUCGAGUCGUCCUGCGCGGAAGAUGUAACGGGGCUAAGCCAGUUACCGAAGCUGCGGAUUUGCAAUUUAUUGCAAGUGGUAGGAGAGCGUUCUGUAAGCCUGUGAAGGUGCGUUGUAAAGCGUGCUGGAGGUAUCAGAAGUGCGAAUGCUGACAUGAGUAGCGUUAAAGGGGGUGAAAAGCCCCCUCGCCGUAAGCGCAAGGUUUUCUACGCAACGUUCAUCGGCGUAGAGUGAGUCGGCCCCUAAGGCGAGGCAGAGAUGCGUAGCUGAUGGGAAACAGGUCAAUAUUCCUGUACCGAU
rnacentral:rRNA from 1 species